rnacentral:tRNA from 1 species
UCACUGGUGGUUCAGUGGUAGAAUCCUCUCCUUCCAUGGGGGAGACCUGGGUUCAGUUCCCAACCAGUGUA